GAAAGUUAUUGUUAUCUUAAUUUCCAUUUACAAUUUUUUUUUUUAAAUCAUUGUUUACUUUAUUCUAGGUAUGAAAGACUCUUGUGAAAUUGCCAUAUAUCUUGAUGUGCGAAAAGCAUUAAAAGAUGGCAUCAAACUUUUCAAAUCAAAAAAUGAUGUGAUACUAAGUGAAGGGAUUGGAGGAGUAAUCCAUCCACGUUACUUCAGACAGGUUAUUGACCGAAGAACAGGUUCAGAUGUAUUGGGAGUCGAGCAUGCUUUUCAGUCAUUGAACUUACAGUGACUACUUGAAGUUCAAAUGAUGUUAUCCUUCAGUGAAAACUGUUAAACUUUUCAAAUUAAAGCACUGAGUGAGUGAUUUUUCUUCCACCUACAUAUCUAUUCUACAGUCGCAGCUAAUUGACAAAUCUCUGGUGAACCCUCAUGGACAAAAUAUGUUUUGGUGAGAUGGCAACCUCAGGGGUGCAGAAAUGGAAAAUAUUUCACUAGCCGGCAGGACAAGAUCCAGCUAAAAUUUACUAGCCUGCCAGCGUAUAACACAAUAUAUUAUUAACAAUAUAAUAUACGCCGUCUUCACUUCAAGUGGUAUAUAUAUAUCAGGAAUUUACCUAGGAGUUCUGUGGGUCUGAACAUUCAAUUAUGUUUGUUCCAAUAAAUGAAUUUAACAGUGGCUUACUGCAUCAUUCAGUGGUCUGAAAUUUUUUCCAAAGUGUGACUUACUCGCGCUAAUUUUCCCAAUCCCACCAGACAUGGGACCAUGGUGAAAAAUCCAGAAUAAAACCCUAUAUACAUUGACAAAACAUUAGUAAGAACUCUUGGUAAGUGAUCAACAUCACGUAACAAACGAAAUCAAGCCCCAAACCUUGAUUGACAAAUCAAUAAAUUGUCAUAUAUUUUGGUAAAGACAAAGUUUUUCACGUUUCUUUUAUAUUGAAAGUAUGAUACAGUAAAAUAAUAUUUAUAUAUUUAUGUCAUGGCAACAGCUUGGUGCUGAAAAAAAUAACCCUCUCGUCAAAAAAUAAGUAUUUUGUAAAUUUUAAACUCCACAGCAGAAUUAUAAUGUUUCUCCAGGGUGACUUAGAGUCCCUGCAAUAUUUUAUUGUCAGAAAACCGUGUGUUAUAUUAUUGUACAUGGGUUUGACACAAGUUUUAUUAGAAUGUUAAAUCAACAACAGAAAACUUGAAUAAAUGAUCAAACUUUGAAACAGGCGACAUUCGAUUCAGGGGCAGGAUUUAGCUCAGUCGGUUGAGUGCUCGUCUGAGGUGCUUGUUUAUAGAAACGGUGUCCGGUUAAUUUAUUUCUCGUAAAAUAUAAGUACCAAGAUAGCGAAAUAUACCUAAAC